GAAGGGGUCAACGGGUUGGAGGAGGCAGGAGCCUGUAGAAGGGGAGGCACCAACUUGCUCCAGAGCAAGUAAUGAGGUAGCAGAGUUUCGAGAGACAGUCAAUCACGAAGAGGCACCGAUCCAGUUGUUACAGAAGCAGUUCAGUGACCAGCUCAAAGAGAAUGAGAGACUCUGAUCAGCAAUCAACCAUCUGACCCUGCGCAAAGCAGGAACUGAAAAGAACAGCAACCACCAAUCCGAUCACAGGCCUGUGGCAGGACAGGGAGGAGCCUCAAACCAUGAUGGGGACAGAUCUGCUGGGGCAAAUCCGUGAGCAAAACCUGUCCUAUCCUAUAUGCAAAUGAGUUGCGGUGAGUAGUAUUAAAAAAUAGUAUUAUAUUUGAGAUUCUCCAAAGUAGCCACCCUUUGCCUUAAUGACAACUUUGCACACUUUAUACACACACCUGUCAGCACUGGGUGUAGCUGAAAUAGCCAAAUCCACUCAUUUGAAGGGGUGUACACAUACACUAUAUAUACACACAAAAGUAUGUUCCAAUGUGAAUUUCAAGUACUUGUUUUUUGUUAAUUUAAUUUUGAAAGCCCUGAGCCCUGUUCUUCAUAUGUGAUGCUGUAAAACUAAACGCCUAAAUACUAUUUCAAAUAGCCAAAGGUAUACCAAAUAUUGUCCCUCUUACAUCUAAUUUACCAAAGAAGUAUUUAGUGUUAACAUUUAAGUAUUUACAAUCUUGUGUAUUUCAUGAUGAUCAGCUUGCUAUUCUGUAUCUUGAAAAAAUGGUGUAUGAGGUUCACUUUUACAUAACUCAAACUACUGAUACAAUAUAGACAUUCAUUUAUUUUUAUUGCCUUAAGAUGAUAACCUUGAAUUUGUUUUAACUAGUAUUUAAGUGGAGUAAAUUGUCAUUUUAUGGUUAAUCUUCCUUCUGUAAAAGGUGAUGUCAUCAGUACAGUUCUCUUCCCAGAAUGUAGAAAAGCUUGUUUUCGUAAAGUUAAUGGUAAUAUUUUUUAUUUUUAUUUUUUAUUUGUUUUUUUCUAUUAAAUGUUUUCUCAAAUGUU